UGGGGAAUAUUGCACAAUGGGCGAAAGCCUGAUGCAGCGACGCCGCGUGCGGGAUGAAGGCCUUCGGGUUGUAAACCGCUUUUGAUUGGGAGCAAGCGAGAGUGAGUGUACCUUUCGAAUAAGCACCGGCUAACUACGUGCCAGCAGCCGCGGUAAUACGUAGGGUGCAAGCGUUAUCCGGAAUUAUUGGGCGUAAAGAGCUCGUAGGCGGUUUGUCGCGUCUGGUGUGAAAGUCCAUCGCUUAACGGUGGAUCUGCGCCGGGUACGGGCAGGCUAGAGUGCGACAGGGGAGACUGGAAUUCCCGGUGUAACGGUGGAAUGUGUAGAUAUCGGGAAGAACACCAAUGGCGAAGGCAGGUCUCUGGGUCGUCACUGACGCUGAGGAGCGAAAAGCGUGGGGAGCGAACAGGAUUAGAUACCCUGGUAGUCCACGCCGUAAAACGGUGGAUGCUGGAUGUGGGGCCCAUUCCACGGGUUCCGUGUCGGAGCUAACGCGUAAGCAU
rnacentral:rRNA from 1 species